GAUGAACGCUGGCGGCGUGCUUAACACAUGCAAGUCGAGCGAGAGAGUUCUUCGGAACAAUCUAGCGGCGGACGGGUGAGUAACACGUGGGCAACCUGCCUCAUAGAGGGGAAUAACCUUCCGAAAGGAAGAUUAAUACCGCAUAACAUCGUUGAAGGGCAUCCUUCGAUGAUCAAAGGAGCAAUCCGCCAUGAGAUGGGCCCGCGGCGCAUUAGCUAGUUGGUGAGGUAACGGCUCACCAAGGCGACGACGGGUAGCCGGCCUGAGAGGGCGACCGGCCACACUGGGACUGGGGCACGGCCCAGACUCCUACGGGAGGCAGCAGUGGGGAAUAUUGCACAAUGGGCGAAAGCCUGAUGCAGCGACGCCGCGUGAGGGAUGAAGGUCUUCGGAUUGUAAACCUCUUUCAGUAGGGACGAAGCGAAAGUGACGGUACCUAAAGAAGAAGCACCGGCUAACUACGUGCCAGCCGCCGCGGUAA
rnacentral:rRNA from 1 species